UACGUAGGGGGCAAGCGUUGUCCGGAAUCAUUGGGCGUAAAGAGCGCGUAGGCGGCCCAGUCAGUCUGCUAGUGAAAGUCAGAGGCUCAACCGUCUGGAUGCCGGUGGAUACUGCUGGGCUAGAGUCCGGAAGAGGCGAGUGGAAUUCCUGGUGUAGCGGUGAAAUGCGCAGAUAUCAGGAGGAACACCGAUGGCGAAGGCAGCUCGCUGGGACGGUACUGACGCUGAGGCGCGAAAGCGUGGGGAGCAAACAGG
rnacentral:rRNA from 1 species